rnacentral:lncRNA from 1 species
AAACAGACUGUGACACAUGCGAUUGGCUUCUGUAUUUUAACUGAUUUCACUGAUGGGAACGGAUACAUUCAUCUCCUUUUCUUUUAAAUUCUAAAAAGUGGGAUCAAGGUAACGAGGGCUGGAAUCUUCUGCUUUUUUGUGUUGCUCAUUGUCGGCUUCACAUCCUUUUAUUCAAGCUAUUUAGCAAGCCUUCCCUCUGCUCUCAACCUACCUGUGGCCAGUUUCGGGGAGAACUCAGACCGAUCAUCAAUAUAGACGACACGCUCAACUUUGGGUAAAAUGAAAUGCAAAUUCUGCAGGGAGGAUAUGGCUGGCGAAGUCACCUCUCUAGGUACCACAAUGCACUUGGUCCAUGUGGGGACUUGCACCAACAACCCUCCAG